rnacentral:rRNA from 1 species
AUACGUAGGUGACAAGCGUUAUCCGGAUUUACUGGGCGUAAAGGGCGUGUAGGCGGUCUUGCAAGUCAGAAGUGAAAUUCCUGAGCUCAACUCGGGCGCUGCUUCUGAAACUGCAGGACUUGAGUGCUGGAGGGGAUAGCGGAAUUCCUAGUGGAGCGGUAAAAUGCGCAGAUAUUAGGAAGAACACCGGUGGCGAAGGCGGCAAGCUGGACAGUAACUGACGCUGAGGCGCAAAAGCGUGGGGAGAAAACAGGAUUAGAUACCGUGGUAGUCCACGCCGUAAACGAUUAAUACUAGGUGUAGGGGGUAUCGACUCCCUCUGUACCGCAGUUAACACAAUAAGUAUUCCGCCUGGGGAGUACGGCCGCAAGGUUGAAACUCAAAGGAAUUGACGGGG